CAGGGGCCGAGACCUAGCUGGGCUUGGGGCGGGGCCGAGACGGAGCGAGGGGUCCAGGGCGUGGGAAACGGGGAGGGGUUUGAGGAGGGGAUCGGAAUGUGGCUCAAGUUCGGGAGGCGUUACCUGCGGAGGGUUUGAGGCAGGUCCAGGAGCGAGCCCACGGUCCGCCGACGCGGGACCAGGGGCGGGCCCCAGGAUCCGGAGCUUCGGGCGGGGCCGAGUCCGGGUUUGGGGCCCGGAAGGCGGGGCCAGUUAGGGCGAGGGUCCCUGGGAUCGUCAGGUCAGGCCUUGGGCUAACGUAGGCACUCUCGCAGUUCCUCCGCCUUCAGGAAAGUCUUUUUAGCAGGGGCCUUACGGGUUCGCGCUUUGGUCCUGGAGGCCUUAUCCUAGCCUCCUCUGUAUCAGCGCCACCAGUCUGGGGCCCGAAAGGAGGGAGCUUUCCCUCUGUCCCCCAGCCUUUGGACUGUCACCAAACAAGCCAUUCGUUCACCAAAUACUUAUUAAGCGCCUACCAUGUGCCUGACAAGGGAGAUGUAACGGCAGAAUCAACGGUUUCUGGGUCUGAGAAGUUGCAUACACACUCUCAGUCCCUGUAUCCUGAGAUGGAGUCACCUGAGGAUCCACAGCAAGUCCUAACCAGGGAUGGGUCUGGGUGAUUAAGGAAGGUUGGCUUCAGAACUGGGCCAGAGGCACUGCUUUGCUUUUGCUGUUUUGAUCAGCUCUGUGCCUGCAUGAGACAAGGAAAAUCAAUGGGAACAGCUGGGGAAACUGAGUUACAGAGCUUUUCUGCACUGAGUCAUCAGGAGCAAAUGCUAGAUCAGAUAGAGUCUCUCUCUCUGCCACCCAGGCCAGAGUGCAGUUGACGCAGGGCAGGGGAGCCCCGAAGUGGAGCAUAGUGUGUCCGGAACUGGUGGGUUCUUGGUCUCCCUGACUUCAAGAAUGAAGCCACGGACCCUCGGGAAAUGAGGCUUCUCCCCAGGACCAGCAUUCCACGAAGGCAGCCCUUUUCUAGAUGGAGAAAACAGAACCUGAAGACACCCGUUUCCCUAAACUGCUCUCGCUCAUGUUUCUACAAGGCCUGGAGCUGAUAGGAAAAACCUCCCUUCUUUCCCAAAUGGUCCCCAGCUGCCCCGUUCACUGAAGGCCCUGCAGUCAGGAACGGUCAGGACUUCACACCCAGUUGUUGUGGGUGUUUGGCCGACACGACACUUCCUCUUGUGUGAUUCAUGGACCCGCAGCAUUGCGUCACCUGGGAGCUUUUGGUAUUGAAGACUCUCAGGGCUCACCCGGAAGGACCUGCUGGGCCAGAAUCUACAUUUUAACAAGAUGCCCAGAAACUCCUGGAGGGCAGAGGCAUGCCUGCCAUCUUCAUCAUUGCAUUACCACCACCCAACACUAUCGGGGGACCUGCCCUGAUAAUCAGGUAGGUUCUUUUCUAUUUUCCUAAGCGUCGACUGGCUUGAGAAAUAAAAGGACAGAGUACAAAAGAGAGAAAUUUUAAAGUUGGGUAUCCGGGGGAGACAACACACAUUGGUAGGAUCCGUGAUGCCCCACAAGCCACAAAAACCAGCAAGUUUUCAUUAGGGAGUUUCAAAAGGGGAGAGAGUAUAUGAAUAGGAGUGGGUGACAGACAUCAAGUACUUAACAGGGUAAUAGAAUAUCACAAGGCAAGUGGAGACAGGGUGAGAUCACAGGACCACAGGAUGGAAGUGAAAUUAAAAUUGCUAAUAAAGUUUUGGCACCAUUGUCAUUGAUAACAUCUUAUGAGGAGACAGGGUUUUGAGAUCAACCCGUCUGACCAAAGUUUAUUAGGUGGGAAUUUUCUCUUCCUAAUAAGCCUGGGAGUGCUGUGGGAGACUGGAGUUUAUUUCACCUCUGCAAUCUCGACCAUAAGUGACAGGUAAGCCCCGGGGGGCCAGUUCAGAGACCUACCCCUAGGUGCGCAUUCUCUUUCUCAGGGACGUUCCAUGCUGAGAAAAGGAAUUCAGUGAUAUUUCUCCCAUUUGCUUUUGAAAGAAGAGAAAUAUGGUUCUGUUCUGCCUGGCUCACCAGCGGUCAGAGUUUAAGGUUAUCUCUCUAAUUCCCUGAACAAUUGCUGUUAUCCUGUUCUUUUUUCAGGGUGCCCACAUUUCAUAUUGCUCAAACACACAUGAUGUACAAUUUGUGUACUUAACGCAAUUAUUACAGGUCCUGAGACGAUAUACAUCCUUCUCGACUGACAGGAUUAAGAGAUUAAAGUAAUGACAGGCAUAGGAAAUCACAAGGGUAUUGAUUGGGGAAGUGAUAAGUGUCCAUGAAAUCUUCACAAUUUAUGUUUAGAGAUUGCAGUAAAGACAGGCAUAAGAAAUUACAAAAGUAUUAAUUUGGGGAACUAAUAAAUGUCCAUAAAAUCUUCAUAAUCCACGUUCUUCUGUCAUGGCUUCAGCCGGUCCCUCUGUUUGGGGUCCCGACUUCCCGCAACAUCUCUCCCUUUCUUUUUAUAUAAAUGUGCCAUGGCGAUGAAGGCUUGUUCAUUCUCUCGAUUUUGACACAGGAUUAUUUGACUGGUACGGCACACUAAAAGCAAGCCGAUGAAGCAGAGAAACAUAAUUCCAGAAUUUACUACAGUGGAGCCCCCAAUAGACUUAAUCCAAGUUCUGGGGUUUAAUCCAUAAAGAUUUUCUGCCACCU
rnacentral:lncRNA from 10 species